rnacentral:tRNA from 1 species
GCACCCGUGGCACAGCUGGAUAGCGCGUCGCCCUCCGAAGGCGAAGGUCAGAGGUUCGAAUCCUCUCGGGUGCACCA